CUUUGGGAUAACCCUCGGAAACGGGGGCUAAUACCGGAUAUUACUGCUGGACGCGUGUUUGGUGGUGGAAAGUUUUUCGGCCUGGGAUGGGCUCGCGGCCUAUCAGCUUGUUGGUGGGGUGAUGGCCUACCAAGGCGACGACGGGUAGCCGGCCUGAGAGGGCGACCGGCCACACUGGGACUGAGACACGGCCCAGACUCCUACGGGAGGCAGCAGUGGGGAAUAUUGCACAAUGGGCGGAAGCCUGAUGCAGCGACGCCGCGUGGGGGAUGACGGCCUUCGGGUUGUAAACCUCUUUCAGCAGGGACGAAGCGCAAGUGACGGUACCUGCAGAAGAAGCGCCGGCCAACUACGUGCCAGCAGCCGCGGUAAGACGUAGGGCGCGAGCGUUGUCCGGAUUUAUUGGGCGUAAAGAGCUCGUAGGCGGCUUGUCGCGUCGACCGUGAAAACUUGGGGCUCAACCCCAAGCCUGCGGUCGAUACGGGCAGGCUAGAGUUCGGUAGGGGAGACUGGAAUUCCUGGUGUAGCGGUGAAAUGCGCAGAUAUCAGGAGGGACACCGGUGGCGAAGGCGGGUCUCUGGGCCGAUACUGACGCUGAGGAGCGAAAGCGUGGGGAGCGAACAGGAUUAGAUACCCUGGUAGUCCACGCUGUAAACGUUGGGCGC
rnacentral:rRNA from 1 species